UUGUUAUACAGGCAGAGAUGCGCUGUAUAUCAGGGGUGCCGAAUUAACGUUUAAGCGUCAUGCAAUGGCGUCGGUCCCUGAGAAAUGGGCCGCCCUAAUCGGCGGCCCAUUUGCGCUCAG
rfam:Bifidobacterium subtile strain LMG 11597 Contig06, whole genome shotgun sequence.